UGGAGUAAAAGGCUAUGGNUCAACCAUAGUGUGCUCUGGAAACUGUNUGACUUGAGUGCAGAAGGGGAGAGUGGAAUUCCAUGUGUAGCGGUGAAAUGCGUAGAUAUAUGGAGGAACACCAGUGGCGAAAGCGGCUCUCUGGUCUGUCACUGACGCUGAGGCUCGAAAGCGUGGGUAGCGAACAGGAUUAGAUACCCUGGUAGUNCACGCCGUAAACGAUGAGUGCUAGGUGUUAGGCCCUUUCCGGGGCUUAGUGCCGGGGCUAACGCAAUAAGCACUCCGCCUGGGGAGUACGACCGCAAGGUUGAAACUCAAAGGAAUUGACGGGGGCCCGCACAAGCGGUGGAGCAUGUGGUUUAAUUCGAAGCAACGCGAAGAACCUUACCAGGUCUUGACAUCCCGAUGCUAUUCUUAGAGAUAGGAAGUUACUUCGGUACAUCGGAGACUGGUGGUGCAUGGUUGUCGUCAGCUCGUGUCGUGAGAUGUUGGGUUAAGUCCCGCAACGAGCGCAACCCUUAUUGUUAGUUGCCAUCAUUAAGUUGGGCACUCUAGCGAGACUGCCGGUAAUAAACCGGAGGAAGGUGGGGAUGACGUCAAAUCAUCAUGCCCCUUAUGACCUGGGCUACACACGUGCUACAAUGGUCGGUACAACGAGUUGCGAGCCGGUGACGGCAAGCUAAUCUCUGAAAGCCGAUCUCAGUUCGGAUUGGAGGCUGCAACUCGCCUCCAUGAAGUCGGAAUCGCUAGUAAUCGCGGAUCAGCACGCCGCGGUGAAUACGUUCCCGGGCCUUGUACACACCGCCCGUCACACCACGAGAGUUUGUAACACCCGAAGUCGGUGAGGUAACCUUUUAGGGNCCA
rnacentral:rRNA from 1 species